rnacentral:lncRNA from 1 species
GACGUCAUCCCCCCUCCCCCCUGUGCAGAGACAGAGCACAGUGUAUUCUCACUGAACGGAGUGUGAGUGCUCACUGAACGGAGUGUGUGUCUCCAGGCAGGCAAGUUUAUACACUACAACUGGGGGGCUGAGGCAGGGGUAAAUGGGACAGUAUGGGGGGGGAGAGUGAGAGGGGGCAGCAGCAUGGAGGGAGGCAGCAUGGAGGGAGAGAGAUGGGGAGAGGCAGCAUGGAGGGAGAGGAUGGGGAGGUGGGGAGCAAGGAGGAGAGGAUGGAGAGGAGGGCAGCAUGGAGGGGAGAGAGAGGGGAGGGGGGCAGCAGGCCGGAGGGGAGAGAGAUGGGGAGGGGCAGCAUGGAGGGGAGAGAGGAUGGGAGGAUGGGGGGAGAUGGGGAGGUAGAGCAGGAGGAGAGAUGAGAGGGGCAGCAUGGAGGAGAGAGGGGAGGGGGCAGCAUGGGAGGAGAGAUGUGGUGGGGGGCAGCAUGGAAGGAGAGAGAUGGGGAGGGGGACAGCAUGGGGGAGGGGAGAUGGGGAGGGGGCAGCAUGGAGGGAGAUGGGGGAGGGGGGGGCAGCAUGGAGGAGAGAUGGGGAGGGGAGCAUGGAGGGAGAAAAGAUGGGGAGGGGCAGCAUGGAGGGAGAUGGGGAGGGGCAGCAUGGUGGGGGGGGCAGCAUGGAGGAGGGGACAGCAUGGAGGGAGAGAUGGGAGGGGGACAGCAUGGAGGGAGAGAGAUGGGGAGGGGGACAGCAUGGAGGGAGAGAGAUGGGGAGGGGGACAGCAUGGAGGGAGAGAGAUGGGGAGGGGGGCAGCAUGGAGGGAGAGAGAGAGAUGGGCAGUGGGGAGGAUUCUGAGUCAUUAAUGGAAUGUUGCCACUAGUCAGACAAUUAGUUUAAAUUGGGAAGUAUAACUAAAUGAUAUGGUAGAGGGUGAUACAGAUAUUCUGUGGGUUGUGUGGAAUGCGUAUCAUUAUUAUUUAAUGUAUAACAUAUCAUUGUUGCAUAUACUUCAGACACAUGGCAUUUUUCAAGGUUAACUCAUCAACGGAAGGGUUACAUGUUUAAGUUAGCACAAAGCCAUGUGUUGCCUGUCAAUCAAAGGGUUAACAAGAAACCCUGACUUUGUACUUUUGAAGCUAGCAAUAGAUAGUGUCUGCUGACUGCAGCUAAAUACCAUACAUUACAUCAUAUAGCAGGGAGCAUGUGAGAGCAUUUUUGGGAGGACCUGGCACCCAGACCACUUAAGCUGAAGUGGUCUGGGUGCCUAGAGUGGUCCUUUCAGGACUUUUUAGCACACGUAUGUGGAAAGGAGCGUCUGUCAUAGAUACUGUAGUCACUAGAAAGACUUGGUGUAGUUGUUCUGGUGACUAUAGUCAGUCCCUACAGGCAUGUUGCUAUAAACACUGCCGUUUCAGAGGUAAUUCAGUGUUUACAUUAGUGCUUAGGGACACCUCUGGUGGCCACUCCUCAGCUGGCCACUAGUGAUGCUUCCUGAGUCACUGUCAUUCUGUGUCUCCCACUCUGUAUGGAGAUACUGAGCUUUCCUCUUAGAGAUGCAUUGAUGCAGCUCUUUGAGAAGAUACUGAUUGGUCAGAGCAACGUUUGGCCCCACCCCUUGAUAAUCUUAGCCAAUCCAAUUCUUUCCUAUGGCAAUGCAUUGUGAUUGGCUGAAAUUGUCAAGAAUACAAGAAGCUGUACAGGCUUGUAAUGAGAACUACCAGACCCUCUGCUCUCUGGGUAAGAAACCCCUCCUCUCUUUUUAUCAAAAAUCUUUCUCAUCAGAAGACACAUUUAUAUCUGUGACACAAUAUACAUUUCUUCAGAUAUACUCCUGACCUCAUGUAAUAUAUGUUUAAGUUUUUAGUUUCCUAAACCCUAAUAAUUAAAAUGAAUUAAUGAGAGAAAUGGGAGCAAAGGAAAAUGAAUGCACAUAUUCCAUUAGCCCCUUUUCAUGCCACAAAAAAAAGUAAAUACAAAAUAAGCACACAAGCUCACUGAUACAUAGGCUCGCUAACAAAAGCAUAAGGUUACUGAUACACAGAAAUAGGCUCACAGACAGACACACACACACGCUCAAUGCAAACAAGCUCACUGACACACAAAGGUUGUAUUGUUGCAGUGUAAGCAUGCAGAAGCCAAACACAGAAAUAUUGGACACAGGUCUUCAGGAAGUAACAGGCCUUUAUUCACAUUACCGAUCGGGUCUCAGAUGAACUCCUGUUCCAAAAGAUCUGAGAGACAUAUACUUGUGGCUUGGGACUUUUGUUAACUGCAUAUCUCCUCCCAUACAGUAUAACCCCUCCUAUAUUCCUCAGACCAAUCAAUGAGCAGAAUAUAGACUUGUACAUCUAGUCAAACCACAUGGCUCAUCCAAGACAAAGGAAAUAAGUGCAAUUUCAGUUCCUGCAUUCCUGCACAUGCUCAGUACACUGAUGACAGUAUCCUAGCUACAUGUAGCUAACCAACUGACACAACAUACACAUAUGCCACAUGGAAAUCUUGGCCUACUAAAUUUUAACCAUGCUGGAAUCCCAUCACAGUAUCACUAGUAGGCACAUACACACAGAAGAUGGGCUGCUGAAUACCUCAAGCCUACCUGAAUGUUGCUAGGGGAGAAGAGGUCAAGUAGCCAUUUUCUGGCCUCUUUUUGCAGCAAGGUCUGCUGCUUAACAGCAGGGGCAAAGCCAGCAGGUGUGGGGGCAGGUCUUUGUGCACAAGGUGGAGCGGAGCUUGUGUGCUUGGAAAGCUGCUGGGAAUUCGGAAAGGGAGACUCCAUGCUCCCUCCGGGCCCCAGCAGCAUCCCCAAUACCUAUCUCCAGUCUUCAGCACCUCCCUCCUGAAUUCCCCUCAGACUGCAAAAUAGGUUAAAGACACAUUAGGGCCCACUAUCAGUCAGGCUCUGUGCAAGAAUUUUUGGCUACACAGGCGAAGACAUGCCCCCCUCCACACACCUGUGUGUCUCUCGUAACCCCACUUUUGAAUUUAUUAAGCCAUUUAGUGUUUCAUAUCCCCUCUUUUGAAUGCCUUACCCCCUUUUGCCCCUUUGUGUGAGGGAGAUAGGGGGGAGAGAGAGGGGUAUCUGCUAGUGAUGAGAGGGAGAGAGAGUGACUGCUAGUGAUGGGGAGAGAUGGGGGGUGCUAGUGAUUGCAUGUGAUAGGGGGAGAGAGAAGGAUGGCUGCUAGUAAUGGAAGGGAGAGAGAGGGGGUUGGCUGCUAGUGAUGGGAAGAGAGGGGGAUGGCUGCUAGUGAUGGGAAGAGAGGGGGAUGGCUGCUAGUGAUGGGAAGAGGGGGAUGGCUGCUAGUAAUGGAAGGGAGAGAGAGGGGGUUGGCUGCUAGUGAUGGGGAAGUGAGGGUGACUGCUAGUGAUUUGGAAGAGAGGGGGCUGGCUGCUAGUGAUGGGAGGAAAGUAUGGAUGCUAGUGAUGGGAAGAGGGGGGUGGAUGUUAGUGAUGGGAAUAGGCUGUUAGUGAUGGGAAGAGGGGAUGGCUGCUAGUGGUAAGGGGAGAGGGGAUGGCUGCUAGUGAUAAGGGGAGAGUGGGUGGCUGCUAGUGAUUGGAAGAGGGGGCAUGGAUGCUAGAGAUGGAAAGGGGGGGUGGAUGCUAGUUAUGGGAAGUGGGGGAUGGAUGCUAGUGAUGGGAUGAGCAAAUUACCUGGGACAGUCUCCAACUUGCCGGGACUGUCCCAACAAAAACAGGACAGCUGGCAACUAUGGCAGGGAGUAUGUGAGAGCCUUUUGGGAGAAAGAUACAGCUAUAUAAACAUGUAAAAGGACAGUCAGACCUCCUCAUUCAUCCAUAGUGCACACAUCCUGCAGUCAUUCUUCACAUCAAUUCUCUUUGUAAGAUUAUUAACCUGUUAUUUUUCUUUCUGUAAUAUUCAUUCAAUACACAUAUUUUAUAUUUAUUUUGGUCAUUGUUUCAUUUAUUACAAUAUUUAUGCAGUGAUAGUCAAGUUAUCAACUAGAAUAAUUAACCAAAACAGUUUAGAAAGUUAAAGGUUCAAUGUAGGCACCCAGAUACUUCAGUAGUUCGGGGUGCAAUUUCCCAUUUGCACCUAGUGAAACUGCAAUGUUUACCUUGCAGCACUAAGUCUGGUAGUGGUCGACAGCCACUGGUGGCACUUCCUGUAUCGCAUAGGACCUCUGGUCCGUUGUUUGAUGAUGGAUGCCCUCACGCUCAGCAUUAGGACCUCCAGCUUCAGAGUUCUCCCCAUAGGAAAGCAUUGAAUAAUGUGAACGCGGUCAUCACCGUGCAUGUGCAUUUUGCUAUAACCACUGCCAUUUCAGAGAUAAUUCUGUGUUUACAUUAUUGCCUAGGGACACCUCCAUUGGCCACUCCUUAGCUGGCCACUAGAUGUGAAUUUUGGGUCAGUGCAGCACUGAUGUUCAUCGUCUCCACGCUCAGCAUGGAGAUACUAAACUUUCCUCUUAGAGAUAGAUUGAUGCAACGCAGCUCUAUGAGAAGAUACUGAUUGGCCAGAGCAGCGUUGGGCCCCGCCCCUGAACUGUCUCCUUGAUAAUCUCAGCCAAUCCAAUUAUUUCCUAUGGGAAAGCAUUGUAAUAGGCUGUAAUCGUCAGUUUUAGAGGUGGAUCAGGAGCAGGCCAAAUGCAAGGAGCCCCACACAGAGUUGUAAAAUGAUAAGAAUUACAGCUUUUUAAUGGGGUAAGGGGGACAAGAGUGAUAACAGGGUAUUUGACACUGUAGGGUCAGGAAAAAACCUUUGUGUUCCUGAGCCUAUAGUGUUCCUUUAACUUGCAACAGGAUUUUGUUCCCUAUAAAGCUAUAAAUGCAAUAAGCUAAGAAUGACUGGAAAACAGAUGUCUGUUGGUGACAUCUAAUCAUACCUUAAAUGAGCCAUAGUGACCAAUAUUGAAGGGUCGUAAACCAACAGGUUAUAAUGGAAGACACUGAGAGAACAUAUGUUAUGAAAGGUAGAGUUAAUUUCCAGAUAAAUAAUUCAGCUGCAUUUGCUGUUUGUAGAUUGAUAGUUUGUAACAGUGGAAAUAAUGUGUUAUUUAGGAACAAUUUGAGUUUGAGGAAGUGGCCGUUUACUUCUCUGAGGACCAGCGGGACUGUUUAAAUCAAGAAUACAAGAAGCUGUGCAGGCAUCUAAUGAGAACUAUCAGACCCUCUGCUCUCUAGGUAAGAAACCACUCCCCCUUUUUAUCAAAACUCUUUCUCAUCAGAAGACACAUUUAUAUCUGGGACAAAUUAUACAUUUCUUCAGAUAUGCUCCUGACCUCAUGUAAUAUAUGUUUGAGAUACCUAAACCCUAAUGGCUCACAUUAAACACAUGAUGCCUUUUGUUAUUUCAACUAUAGAACAAUGACAGGGUAAACAUUUAAAAAUGUGGUUGUACCUGGGACUAAAGUGGUAACCCAAUCUACUUGUCUAGACUUGUCCCCAAAUAAUUUUAAAUUAGAAGUUUGGGGACCCUGCUUAGACAUGAAGACUGGCAGGGCUCUGAAUUUUCCCAAAUGUAAUCCGAAUAGAAAAAUGUAGGCAAAACAUAGCUCAUCUAUAGUCACUACUGGCUAUUUUUACCUCUGUUUGGAUUUGCAAAAAUGUUGACUUUAGUGUCUUGUACGCUGUCCUCCCCAUAGUGUAUAUGUGGCGACUAGAUGUAAUAAGGGUGUAUAUUGUGUGUGUCAGCUGGGUUUCGUGAGUGAUGCUAAAUGUAAUGUGUCGUUGUGUGGUGUGAUUUUUAAUUGCCACCCCUUCCUUCAGUUUUGCUUUUUUGUUUGCAAUGGCUAGAUGUAAUAAGUGUUUAUGUCGUUUGUGUCAGCUGGGUGUAAUUUGUGCUGACUGUAUGCAGUGUGACUUUGUGUAGUACUCUGUUUUGCCACUCCUUACUUCUGCUUUUCUUUCCUGGUGCGUUUCCCUGUAGGUCCAGUGGGGGUCGUACUCUGACAGUCUUGCAUGGAUCCUGGAUCCUUGGUGGUCUAGUGAAGGAGAGCGAGAGAGAGAAAAGGAGAGGUGGCAACAUAGAGAAAGACAGAAGGAGAAGGGGCAGCAUGAAGGGAGAGAGAGCUGGAUUGCUGCUACAAAGUGCACUUGGAGAUAUUCCGGAGGUAGUCUGAUGUAUACAGGAGGUGGAAAAAGUAAGAUUUUCAAAGCAGCAGUCAUAACAAAUGACCAUUCCUCACAGGGCCACUAGCAUUAAAAAGGUAAAAAAAACAAAUGCAGUCCACACCCCAGACUCCUCCCAUCCUAGCCUUAUAAAUGGUAACUCCACCCUGUGAUCCCUAGUCUUUGCAUGUCCUCAACGUGCCCUUGGCAGAUUAAGUGAAG